CCUACGGGGGGCUGCAGUGAGGAAUAUUGGUCAAUGGGCGCGAGCCUGAACCAGCCAAGUCGCGUGAAGGAUGACUGCCCUAUGGGUUGUAAACUUCUUUUAUAAAGGAAUAAAACGAGGCACGUGUGCCUUUUUGCAUGUACUUUAUGAAUAAGGAUCGGCUAACUCCGUGCCAGCAGCCGCGGUAAUACGGAGGAUCCGAGCGUUAUCCGGAUUUAUUGGGUUUAAAGGGAGCGUAGAUGGGUUGUUAAGUCAGUUGUGAAAGCUUGGGGCUUAACCGUAAAAUUGCAAUUGAUACUGGCAGUCUUGAGUACAGUUGAGGUAGGCGGAAUACGUGGUGUAGCGGUGAAAUGCUUAGAUAUCACGAAGAACUCCGAUUGCGAAGGCAGCUUACUAAACUGCCACUGACAUUGAUGCUCGAAAGUGUGGGUAUCAAACAGGAUUAGAUACCCCGGUAGUC
rnacentral:rRNA from 1 species